CCUGCCCACGAGGGUGGAGCGUUGGGUGCUCACAGCCCACACCGGUGUGCUGCUCAUUGGUGCCGGUAUGCACUGAGUACUAACGCUCACACGAUCGACCGCGCUGCACUCGUCAGUCUGCCGGUGACCCAGCUGGGGCGCUGGUGGCUGCUGCUCGUGGCUCGUGGGGUAAAAAAGCUACCAGACACCUUCAGCUUCAGCAAACCUACCAGAACACCCUCAAAACAUUUGGAGAGUUCUCGGCGACAUGAUGAGCUUUCGGUCCGGUAUACCAAGAAGCGCGAGGGGAUUCUUCUUUUGGAUUGCAACUGCCGUGCUCCUGAUGGUGGGAAGUCUGCAGAUUUAUCAGUCACAACGGUACUUCAGAAACUUCGGCCCGCUGUUUGUCAACUGCAGUCAUCGCUACUGUCUUCCUUCUGGCCUUUAUGGCCAGGUGUCGUUGGGCGUUUCGGGUCAGAAGGCGUUUAACGGUGUGCCAGCAGGUAACGUACCGCACGGUUCGCGGGUUUACCAAGUCAGGAGACCAUUUACGGUGCACCAGCACGUAAUAUGUGGACCGCGUAUUGGACUGGCCACGCUAACAGCUGAGGCAGCAACAUUUAGUUCAUUUGCUUCGAAUAGUGUUCUGGAAGUACACCUAUCAUUGCGUUAAAGUACACAUAAUAUCGUUCGGGAUGUUUCCCAUGAAGUUCGGAAUCAGCAUUAGCGUAAAUGCGUGCAAAGCGUUGCAUAUGCCGCAGUGUUAUGUCAUGGCACGAAAUGAAGAUACAAAUAUAUUUGUCACAUUA